ACUCCUUCAACAGAAUCGCCAUGCCUUCCAUAUUGUGCCAAUGCACUCAUGUACACACACACACACACACAUUGUAUUUUAAGAAAAAAAAAAAAAAAGAGGUGGGGGACUGGAGAGAUGACCCAGUGUUUAAAGAGCACUUGCUGUUCCUCUAGAGUUCCCAGCACCCACAUGGUGGCUCACAACUGCCUCUAGCUCCAACUCAGGUUAUGUGACUUCAUCUUUUAGCUUCUAAGGGCAGCAUGAGCCACGUGCAAACACACACACACACACACACACACACACACACACACAGUGCAUAGACAUACAGGCAAAACACCCAUAUACAUAAAAUAAUAAUUAAAAAAAACUUUAAAAUUUAGAUCGGAGUGGUGGUGCACGUCUUUAACCCCAACAUUCUGGGAGGAGGCAGUUACACAGUUAGACAGUUAGAUCCUGUCUC
rnacentral:lncRNA from 1 species